rnacentral:rRNA from 1 species
GACGAACGCUGGCGGCGUGCUUAACACAUGCAAGUCGAACGGAAAGUCCCUGCUUUUUGGCGGUGCUCGGGUGGCCAACUGGUGAGUAACACUUGAGUAACCUGCCCUUGACUGUGGGAUAACUUCAUGAAACUUGGGCUAAUACCGGAUAGGAUCUCCUGCUUCAUGGUGGGGGUUGGAAAGUUUCGGCGGUUGGGUAUGGACUCGCGGCUUAUCAGCUUGUUGGUGGGGUAGUGGAUUACCAAGGCUUUGACGGGUAGCCGGCCUGAGAGGGUGACCGGACACACUGGGACGGAGAUAAGGCACAGACUCAUCUGGGAGGCAGCAGUGGGGAAUAGUGCAUAAUGGGAGGAAGCAUGAUGUAGCAAAGCCGCGUGGGGGGUGACGGGCUUCGGGUUGGAAACCGCUAUUGCCUGUCACGAAGCGUGAGUGACGGUAAUGGGUAAAGAAGCACCGGCUAACUACGUG